rnacentral:rRNA from 1 species
AGCGAACGCUGGCGGCGGGCCUAACACAUGCAAGUCGAACGAAGUCUUCGGACUUAGUGGCGGACGGGUGAGUAACACGUGGGAACGUGCCUUUAGGUUCGGAAUAACUCAGGGAAACUUGUGCUAAUACCGAAUGUGCCCUUCGGGGGAAAGAUGUAUCGCCUUUAGAGCGGCCCGCGUCUGAUUAGCUAGUUGGUGGGGUAAUGGCCCACCAAGGCUACGAUCAGUAGCUGGUCUGAGAGGAUGACCAGCCACAUUGGGACUGAGACACGGCCCAAACUCCUACGGGAGGAAGCAGCGGGGAAUCUUGCGCAAUGGGCGAAAGCCUGACGCAGCCAUGCCGCGUGGAUGAUGAAGGUCUUAGGAUUGUAAAAUCCUUUCACCGGUGAAGAUAAUGACUGUAGCCGGAGAAGAAGCCCCGGCUAACUUCGUGCCAGCAGCCGCAGUAACAC